rnacentral:lncRNA from 1 species
UCCUACCAGUAAUUAGAGGCUACAAGCUUGACUGCUACAUGCUGGGAACCAAAAAGUGCCCUGAACAAUUCAUAACCGCUGCAGACAAGAGCAAGCAAAUCAAUCCUGAAUUUCAAGAGUGGCAAGCACAAGAUCAAAAACUGUUGGGAUGGCUAACUCCAUGACAGUUGACAUUGUCACACAACUGAUGCAUUGUGAAUCAUCCAAGCAACUUUGGGAUGAAGUACAAAGCCUUGUUGGUGCUCACAUUAAGUCUCGCAUCAUGUACCUCAAAUCUGAGUUUCACAGCACUCGGAAAAGAGAGUUGAAGAUGGAGGAAUAUCUCAUCAAAAUGAAGAAACUUGCUGACAAACUAAAGCUUGCAGGAGCACUUGUAUCAAACUCAGAUCUAAUGAUCUAAACAUUAAAUGGUUUGGACUCUGAUUACAAUACAGUAGUUGUCAAACUAUCUGAUUAAAUCAAUCUCAGUUGGGUUGAUCUGCAGGCUCAACUCUUAACCUUUGAAAGCAGGCUGGAGCAAUUGAAUAAUCUCACCAAUCUUACAUUGAAUGCAUCAGCUAAUUUUGCAAACAAAACUGAGUACAAAGACAACAAGUUCCACACACGUGGGAGUUGGAGAUGAUCUAACUUCAGAGGCACGACAGGUUUCAGAGGAAAAGGUAGGAUGUCAAAACCAAUCUCAAAACCAAUCUGUCAGGUAUGCGGCAAAGGUGGUCACACUGCUGUGAUUUGUGACUACCGUUUUGAUAAGUCCUACUCAGGUACUAAUCAGUUAGCAGAACGAACACAUAACAGUGCAUUCAUAGCUUCACCUUACAAUGGUCAAGACUAUGAAUGGUACUUCGAUAGCGGUGCGAGCAACCAUGUGACACAUCAAACUGACAAGUUUCAAGAUCUCACUGGGCACAAUGGUAAGAAUUCCUUAAUGGUUGGGAAUGGUGAGAAGUUAAAAAUUGUUGUCUCAGGUUCAACCAAACUUAAAAAUCUUAAUCUAUAUGAUGUCUUAUAUGUGCCUGAAAUUACCAAAAACCUAUUGAGUGUGUCUAAGUUAACUGCUGACAAUAAUAUCAUUGUUAAAUUUGAUGUUGAUUGUUGCUCUGUGAAGGACAAGCUGACAGGGAAGUCUCUUCUAAAGGGGAAACUUAAAGAAGGUUUGUAUCAAGUUUCGAAUGCUAGCUCUCAGUCAAAUAAAGACGCAUGUACCUACAUGUCUGUCAAAGAAAGCUAGCAUAGGAAGCUUGGACACCCCAACAAUAAGCAUUGGAAGCUAGCAUUGUAAUGUGAAGACUUCAUCUAGUGAUCAAUUUCAAUUUUGUGAGGCUUGUCAAUUUGGGAAGCUACACUUGUUACCAUUUAAGUCAUAUUAUUCUCAUGCUCAGGAACCCCUAGAUUUGAUUCAUACUGAUGUAUGGGGUCCUGCACCAAUAAUGUCAAGUUCUGGUUUUAAAUAUUAUGUCCAUUUUAUUGAUGAUUUUAGUAGAUUUACAUGGAUUUAUCCUUUAAAACAAAAGUCUGAAACCAUACAUGCCUUUACUCAAUUCAAAAAUUUGGUGGAAAAUCAAUUUAAUAAAAGGAUGAAAAUUGUUCAAUGCGAUGGUGGAGGUGAAUACAAAGCUGUCCAAAAACUUGCCUUAGAAGCAGGAAUUCAGUUUAGAAUGUCAUGCCCUUAUACUUCUCAACAAAAUGGUAGAGCCGAGAGAAAGCACCGACAUGUUGUUGAACUAGGUUUAACCAUGUUGGCCCAAGCCAAAAUGCCUUUAUGUUAUUGGUGGGAAGCCUUUUCCACAUCUGUUUAUCUAAUAAACAGGCAGCCCUUAUCAAUUAACCAAAAUGCUUGCCCAUAUACCUUGAUAUACAAAAAGGAACCAGAUUAUAGUGUCUUGAAACCCUUUGGAUGUGCUUGUUAUCCAUGUCUGAAACCUUACAACAAGCAUAAACUGCAAUUCCAUACAACUAGAUGUGUAUUUUUGGGAUAUAGCAACUCACACAAAGGAUACAAAUGCAUCAAUUCUCAUGGAAGAAUCUUUGUAUCAAGACAUGUAGUGUUCAAUGAAAAACAUUUUCCCUUUCAUGAUGGUUUUCUGGACACAAGAAAUCCAUUAAAAACUCUAACCCAAAAUGAUCCCAUUUUUUUCCUCUUGCUCCUACAGAUGGCACAAACAACAUUGAUGAUCCAGAAAAUGAAUCAUUUAUUCAUGAAGAAGAAGAUUCAAAUUCCAGCCACUCAAGUGAAGAUCAACACGAAUCUAGUGAUAGACUCAUCAACACUAGUGAGAGCUCUUUACAGUCUGCAAUCAGAAAAGAAGAAAACAAUGAUUCAACGGAAACGAUGGAGACAAGCAGACAAAAUGAACUUGAAAUUGGAGCAAAUAGUCAGGAAAACAACACCAACACACAUUUGAUGCGUACUAGAAUUAAAGAUGGAAUCCACAAGCCAAAACUAUAACACCCAAACCCAUUAUUGUAGUGAUUCUACGUUUAUUAAAUCUUUUUCAAAAUACGCAACAGAAAAAUUGAAAGUUAUUUAUAAACAUUGGUUCUAGACACAUCUAUAUGCAUGCAACAUUACCAUUCACCACCAAAUAUUGGAUAACUUAAUCCAAUCUUCACCACCAAAUACUGACUAUGAAUGCAUGAAAUGCACAUCACUUGUAUCAAUCAUUUUAUACAAUUAAUAUUAAUUCAUUAUUAAUAUUCACCACCAAUUGUUCAUCACUAAUUAUACACACCAUUUCAAUUCAUAUAGCAAGAAGAAACAAAUUUGAGGAUCUAAACUAACUAUUUUAUUCUACUACAAUGAGUUACAACACAAGACAUAUAGACAAUUUAUUCAAAAUCAACAUAGGAAUUAGGCUAUUCCUAGUUCGCAUAAUCUCCAUAUUAUCAACUCAUAGAAGUUAUUCAACUAAGACACUCUAUAAAGUAAGGUACAUAAGAAAAAUUAAUAUAUAGUUGAGAGCAAAUAGACUCUCGAUACCUCAUACCAAUUCCAACAUCUCAAAAAGAAAUAGUAAAUUUAUAAAACACGUACUCUGCAAAAUGAAAAGUCUUUAUACACUUACAUCUAUUCUUUGAACAUGUAAUUUGACAGGUAACACACAUGUUUCAUUUUAACACCGAGAGGAAAUCCAUGACAACACAGAGUCACACUAGGAAAGGUUCCACUAUAAUCAAACACAUAAUGACAAAAAUACUGCUAUUGCAAUUUGAACAUGGUUAGCACAAAUUUAUGAACAAUAAAAUCUCAUACUUUUCAAGUUACUCAAAUAGCAACAACAGUUCAUAAAGUAUAUAUUUUUGUCAUCACAAAUUCAUUUCUAGACAUGAAUAAACAUGUAUAAUCACAUACUUUAACAUAAAAUUUCAAGAUAAACAAAUUCCCAAAUCCCAUAAACUCUACCAAAAUGAAAAAGAGACGAGGAGAGUUUGGGAUAGAGAAGAUUACUUCUCUCCUUUCCAUUAAUCAUCUCAAAGAUUAUAAAUUACCCUCAUACCUUUAGAUGAUGGAAAUCUAGCUUUGAAGUUGAAUUUGACUUUUCAAGUUCCUUCCCUUCUCUCAAGUUCUUCUUUCUUCUUAUUUCUUUACCGACUCUGUUUUCUCCUUCUCUCUCUACUUUUCCAAUAUUUUGAUAAGAAUGACUUUCUCUUUCUAUUUUUAGUUUAUAUAUCUAGAGU